rnacentral:rRNA from 1 species
CGAGCGAGCUGAAUUCAAAGAUUCCUUCGGGGUGAUUUGUUGGACGCUAGCGGCGGAUGGGUGAGUAACACGUGGGCAAUCUGCCCUAAAGACUGGGAUACCACUUGGAAACAGGUGCUAAUACCGGAUAACAACAUGAAUCGCAUGAUUCAAGUUUGAAAGGCGGCGUAAGCUGUCACUUUAGGAUGAGCCCGCGGCGCAUUAGCUAGUUGGUGGGGUAAAGGCCUACCAAGGCAAUGAUGCGUAGCCGAGUUGAGAGACUGAUCGGCCACAUUGGGACUGAGACACGGCCCAAACUCCUACGGGAGGCAGCAGUAGGGAAUCUUCCACAAUGGACGCAAGUCUGAUGGAGCAACGCCGCGUGAGUGAAGAAGGUUUUCGGAUCGUAAAGCUCUGUUGUUGGUGAAGAAGGAUAGAGGCAGUAACUGGUCUUUAUUUGACGGUAAUCAACCAGAAAGUCACGGCUAACUACGUGCCAGCAGCCGCGGUAAUACGUAGGUGGCAAGCGUUGUCCGGAUUUAUUGGGCGUAAAGCGAGCGCAGGCGGAAUGAUAAGUCUGAUGUGAAAGCCCACGGCUCAACCGUGGAACUGCAUCGGAAACUGUCAUUCUUGAGUGCAGAAGAGGAGAGUGGAAUUCCAUGUGUAGCGGUGGAAUGCGUAGAUAUAUGGAAGAACACCAGUGGCGAAGGCGGCUCUCUGGUCUGCAACUGACGCUGAGGCUCGAAAGCAUGGGUAGCGAACAGGAUUAGAUACCCUGGUAGUCCAUGCCGUAA